GGGGCGAUGGAGGCCUAUUGCGAAUCCUCUUACAAGGAUGCCUUCCUUGAAGAAGCUCUCUUCCUCCCUCUACAAGGAUUUCAGGACACUACACUGUUGCCACCACUCUAAUCAGCAUUCUGGCUAUUUAUCAUUCUCAAUGAUUAUAGCAUAGAAAGAGGCCAUUCAAACAGUGGCUGAAAAUGUGUUGCUGGAAAAGCGCAGCAGGUCAGGCAGCAUCCAAGGAGCAGGAGAAUCGACGUUUCAGGCAUGAGCCCUUCUUCAGGAAUAAGGAAAGUGUGUCCAACAGGCUAAGAUAAAAGAAAAUGCGAGAAAUACUCAGCAGGUCAGGCAGAACCUGUGGAGAUAAGUACCUCAGAUCAAUGGAAAUUCAGAAUCCGAAUCACUAUCAGAAUCAGUGGGAGUUCAUCAAUCUGAAACAAGGAUUCGGUUUCUCUUAACAAAUGCUACCUAACCUGCUGAGCUAUUCCAGCACUGUCAACUUUAAUUUUGGAUUUCCAGCAUGUACAGUUUUCUACUUCUGUAAGUGAUUGCUGACCCUUGAUGUUCAAAACUAAAG